GAUGAACGCUGGCGGCGUGCCUAAUACAUGCAAGUCGAGCGAACAGACGAGGAGCUUGCUCCUCUGACGUUAGCGGCGGACGGGUGAGUAACACGUGGAUAACAUACCUAUAAGACUGGGAUAACUUCGGGAAACCGGAGCUAAUACCGGAUAACAUGUUGAACCGCAUGGUUCAACAGUGAAAGACGGUCUUGCUGUCACUUAUAGAUGGAUCCGCGCCGCAUUAGCUAGUUGGUAAGGUAACGGCUUACCAAGGCAACGAUGCGUAGCCGACCUGAGAGGGUGAUCGGCCACACUGGAACUGAGACACGGUCCAGACUCCUACGGGAGGCAGCAGUAGGGAAUCUUCCGCAAUGGGCGAAAGCCUGACGGAGCAACGCCGCGUGAGUGAAGAAGGUCUUCGGAUCGUAAAACUCUGUUAUUAGGGAAGAACAAAUGUGUAAGUAACUAUGCACGUCUUGACGGUACCUAAUCAGAAAGCCACGGCUAACUACGUG
rnacentral:rRNA from 1 species